GGCAAGGACAGUUUGCAGUAGCUCUAGCCCUAAGACAGACACAUGUGCAGGACACAGCCACGGUAAAGGCUGCAGAUAAAUUCAACUGUGUAAGGAAGAUCCAGUUACAUGUGGGCAACGGCAGCCAAUGGGCUGGGGCCUGAGAAUCAGCAUUCAUCCGUUUCUUGACUGUGUGACAGCCUGAAUCCAACCUCAGUGUGCCUCUGUCAGAUUAACAGGAUAGCUGGAAGUCCCGCUGGCCAUCGGACACUCGUUCAUUAGGUGCUAACUAUGUGUCAGGCACUGGGUACUGGGAUGCGAUGGUGAACAAGACAGCCACAGACCAGCUCUCCUUGGAAACUGAGCUCAGAGGUGGAAACCAACCUAAAUAAACGAACUUGCCAGCCAGUGGGUAGAUGAGGCUGAACCAAUACAUACUGGGUCUGCAUGUGGAAGAAUGAGGCUUGCAGCCAACGGCCGUCCACAUCUCUGAUGAGGAUCAGGUAGGUAAGGACGAGUGGAGGCUGACCAAAGCAGAGCAGCCAAGGACUUGGUCCUAGAAGCCAGGGACAGAGCUUCUGUCAUCUUUAGGAACUCAGAGGACUGAAUGGAGGUGGGGCUGUCAGGCUGGGUGGGUGGUCAACCAUUACAGAAAGUCAGGACAGACAACCGCAUGGUGGCGCUCCUUCAGUUCAAUGGAGGGAGUAAGAAGCCUGGCCAAGGUCCAGGCAGCUGUUGGAGUUACUCCUGCUGAGGCAGACUGGCUGAUGAGGCAGGAAAGCUCUUUUUUUUUUUUUUAAACAAAUGGGGUUCUCCAUGGUGGCCCAAUGGCAAGUUUAAUAAACUAUGACAGCAUCUCACCUCUGUUCCUCUGCCAACCCAUAUGCUGUAUCCUGUCUCUUGGCGAGCUGAUUAGGAGAGCAGGUUCAGGAGGCAGGUCACCUCCAUGAAGUCAUCAGAGAGCCCCUGAGUUAAUGAUGGCUCCAAGCAACGAGGCUCAAACUUUUUCCAUCCACAGCUCAGUGCUGGCAAAGCAAAAGACCUCACAUGUUCCCACUUACUGAGCCAGAAACCCUUCCUUCUAGAGUGAAACUUACCAUCAGUGACCAGUUAUUAUGACCGCUCCUCUCCAUGUCCCUUUGACGCCUCUGUUCCCCUCAUCUUGUAAAACCACACCCAUGGUCGAGUCCACUCUUUCUUUUAAUCCAUGCUUGUUUGGAAGUCAGGGGGACACCAUGACAGUGUUGAAUGUUCUCAUCCAGAUCAUGCCCACGGGUUGUCACACUCUAUGGCCUGAGCACAUCACCCUCCCACUCGCCAAGAGACAGACUAUACCUUCACUUCUCCCUUCAGACCCCUAACACCUUCCUCUUCAUCAUUCCUCCUGAUGGGUGACCCUGCUUCCCUUCCUGUCUUCAUGGGCAGAACACAUUCCUCCUCCCACCACCACCCACCCUUGUGUCCUCUGUUUUCUUGACAAUAUCAGGGAUGAACUUGCUACGUGCUUCUGCAAAGCCGACCUCUCCACCUGUGUGCCACCCGUCCUGUCUCAGCUGGCCAAGGACAUCACUGCUGCCCCAUUUCCUACUCUCUCCUACAUCUUCCUCCUCCAUCAUCCCUAUCAGCCUACAUACAUGGGAUUGUGACUUGUAGCUUUAAAAAUGCCUUCUUCUGGCCUCACUUUACCCAAAACUUUCUUGUGUGCUCCCAAUGUCACAAAACUGCUCUAGAAAGUUCUCUGUGUUUCACUUUUACACCUUGUCUCCUCCCAUGUCUCUUAGGCAGACUCAUUCAGCCUUUUGUCUCUGCGCCCAUCAUGCCUUUGUCAUCAUGUGUUUCUGGGCCUGGGUCGCCUUGACUGUGUUUCACACAGGACGUCCUUCCCUCUGGGGCUGUUUUCUCCCGUGCCCUCAGAACAAUGGUCUCUUUGUUUUCAGUCUCUGGAACUGCUGCUUCUCAGCCUUCUUUGCUGGCCUUUUUCAUUUCCUUGGUCCUUUAAGGCUGAGUCUUCAUCCACAACCAUCACUGUCUUGAUUGGUGCAGUUCCAGUCUUCUAGUUGCCCAGGCUCAUCACCCCCAUGGUUACCACCCUGGCUGGGACCGUAUCGAUGUUCAUCUGGACCCAUGACUGUUAGAGAGAGAGAGAAACACACACACACACACACACACACACACACACACACACACACACAGAAUACAACAGAUCAUGGCAUUCUUCAUUCCUCUUUAGAUCUUCUAGUUGCUCUUCAUAUCCCUGAGGUUUUAUGGGAGACUUUAUCCAGCUGGGCCACCCAACUCCACCUCCAAACUCCAAACUCCUCUUCUACCCUACCUCUGUCAACUCCAUGCCAACCACAGAUCUGCUUGUAGCUCCUCAACACCGUGGGGAUUGGUCCCCAGCCAUUCCCAUGAUCCCCUCCCUCCCUCCCUCCCACUCUCCUGCUUUCUCCCCCUCCCCUCUCAAGCCUUUGCUCAGUGUUGCCAUGUCUGCAUCUUCUGUGCUAUCCGUAUGUGCUAUACCCGAUUCUGUUUCCAUGGUAAUCCUCCCACUCUGGCGUCCUGUAUGCAUAUUUAUUUAUUCUCAAAUGUUUAUUACCUUGGGUUUCCAACACUUGCAUAUUAGCUCCACGAGGACAAGGACUUUUGACUUUUCGUUUUGUUCAUGAAUGCCAGGGACCUAAAGCUACGGCUAGCACAUGGCAACAAAAGUAUUUGUUGACGAUUGAACAGAAAGAUUAGUCUAGCUGUGAAGCGCCUGCAGUAACAGAUAGGUGCCACUCAGUUCUCCAUUUACCCCCUGGCUGUCCAUCAGCUUCGGCAUCCAACAGGUACGGUUUUGAUUACUUUCAUCCAGUUCUUUGGAUUGUGGAAAAAUGUGUCCGCCCUGAAAGAACUUUUGAUCAUCUAAGUUAGAAUUAAGUGUGUAGCCCUUAUCACACUGGGGAAUUGGUAUCACGGGUAGUAGUAAUUAUGAAUUUAAGAACAAAGAGGCUUUGAGCCCCCCCUUCCCCCCAUCCCGCUCAUUGCAAGUCCUGCAGUGCUGAGGAUCUGCCUUUGACAGCCCUGGAAACUCAGUAGCCUGAGAGAGGAACUGUUGUUCUUUUGCCUGUUUGCCUUGAGACAAAGACUU
rnacentral:lncRNA from 1 species